AGUGAACGCUGGCGGUAGGCCUAACACAUGCAAGUCGAACGGCAGCACAGUAAGAGCUUGCUCUUACGGGUGGCGAGUGGCGGACGGGUGAGGAAUACAUCGGAAUCUACUUUUUCGUGGGGGAUAACGUAGGGAAACUUACGCUAAUACCGCAUACGACCUACGGGUGAAAGCAGGGGAUCUUCGGACCCUGCGCGAUUGAAUGAGCCGAUGUCGGAUUAGCUAGUUGGCGGGGUAAAGGCCCACCAAGGCGACGAUCCGUAGCUGGUCUGAGAGGAUGAUCAGCCACACUGGAACUGAGACACGGUCCAGACUCCUACGGGAGGCAGCAGUGGGGAAUAUUGGACAAUGGGCGCAAGCCUGAUCCAGCCAUACCGCGUGGGUGAAGAAGGCCUUCGGGUUGUAAAGCCCUUUUGUUGGGAAAGAAAAGCAGCAGGUUAAUACCCCGCUGUUCUGACGGUUCCCAAAGAAUAAGCACCGGCUAACUUCGUG
rnacentral:rRNA from 1 species